UUUCUUCUCUCCCCCGUUUUCCUGUCUUCCCCUCCUUUUCCUUCCUUACCCCGUUCCUUUCUUUCCUCCCCUUCCCCCCCACCCCCUUUCCUUUUCUUUUUAAGAAAUAAUAAUCACGAGAUCAUGUUUUCUCAAGGAAUAAGCUGUAGUCACGAGGGUUUCCCCACACGUGUGAGCUAUCCGUGCUGUGUCCCGAAUAUUUUGGGGAGGUUCUGCUGGCGGAGAUGCUGUAAGCGAGGCUGCGUGUGCUGGGGAAGAGGGGGUGGUUGGAAUUAAUAGGAUAAACAAAGCAGGGACUCGGGGAUGGCGAAAUCAGAUGGUUGGGAAAUGCUUUGGUAAUGGUGGAGAUGCACUCUGGGAUUUAAGCAAGCUGAGUUUCCUUUGGUAAACGUGCAGGUCUGUGAGGUUUGGCAGUUCCUCCCAACACAGGGCACGGCUGCUGUGGGUGCUGCUCAGGAGAAUCAGUGGCAGGUGGAGAUCUCGGUCCACCCGUGCCAGAUUCUGUUGUGUGAACCCCAUUCUACAGCAGGCAGGUGCUGCAGGGGGGUCAUUCUUGCAGGUUUUUGGCAUGCAGAUGGAUAAAUGGCAAUCUAUUUCUGGGGAGGAAAACCAAAGAACCCCGCUGUCCCCUAUGCACAUCACCACCAAAAAAUGAAGGUUCUUUCCCAACCAAUAAUUCAACGAUUUCUAAGCCAGAAAGUGCACUGUCCAACUUGCAUGUGGUCCUUCUAUGGCUUUUCCUGUUGAAGAGUCCAUGGAAAACACACAGACCACCCUGGGAAAUGUUUCCCAAAUCCUGGAGCAGAAGCAAGAGGUAGGGAAUGAUGGAGCACGCCCUGACUGUGGCUCAGCCUCAGUGCUGAAGUAUGGGACAGCCUUUGCCUGAAGGACUGCGAUUCUGGGUCCAUCUCCACUCCAGCCAUGACACAGACACUUUCCACAUGUUAUUUAUUAUUUUUCCCUGUAAGCACUGUAUGGCAGUGAGAAACAUUAGCUGGGAAUUCAGGGCAGGUGGGUAUUCCCGGAUUUCACUUUGUGCCUUUAGGUCUUCUGUGUAGUAAUGACUCCCCUGGAAAUUCCCCACGUCUCACUUAUUACUCCUUUAUUAGUUAUUAUGGUACAGUAACAGGAUAAAAAGGAGUUGGUAUUUCAUUUUCAUUCCCUCUAAUAGCCAUGGCAAAG
ensembl:lncRNA